rnacentral:rRNA from 1 species
UACGAAGGGGGCUAGCGUUGUUCGGAAUCACUGGGCGUAAAGCGCACGUAGGCGGAUGUGCCAGUCAGGGGUGAAAUCCCGGAGCUCAACUCCGGAACUGCCUCUGAUACAGCACGUCUUGAGUUCGAGAGAGGUGGGUGGAAUUCCACGUGUAGCAGUGAAAUGCGCAGAGAUGUGGAGGAACACCGAUGGCGAAGGCGGCUUUCUGGGCCUUACCUGACGCUGAGGAGCGAAAGCUGGGGGAGCGAACAGG